rnacentral:misc_RNA from 1 species
CGCACAUUGCGCCCCAUGGUACUCCGUGGGGCAUGCCUGUUCGAGCGUCAUUUCACCCUCAAGCACUGCUUGGCGUUGGGCUUCGUCCGGAUGGACGUGUCCUAAAUAAAUCGGCAGCGGGUUUGCCGGCUUCUUGUGCAGCACAUUGCGCGUGGGCCGCAGCAACCGGUGCCGCAACACCAAACGUCUGACCUCGGAUCAGGUAGGGAUACCCGCUGAACUUAA